rnacentral:rRNA from 1 species
ACGGGAGGCAGCAGUGGGGAAUUUUGGACAAUGGGGGAAACCCUGAUCCAGCAAUGCCGCGUGUGUGAAGAAGGCCUUCGGGUUGUAAAGCACUUUUGUCCGGAAAGAAAACUUCUCCAUUAAUACCGGGGGAGGAUGACGGUACCGGAAGAAUAAGCACCGGCUAACUACGUGCCAGCAGCCGCGGUAAUACGUAGGGUGCGAGCGUUAAUCGGAAUUACUGGGCGUAAAGCGUGCGCAGGCGGUUCGUUAAGACAGAUGUGAAAUCCCCGGGCUUAACCUGGGAACUGCAUUUGUGACUGUCGAGCUAGAGUAUGGCAGAGGGGGGUAGAAUUCCACGUGUAGCAGUGAAAUGCGUAGAGAUGUGGAGGAAUACCGAUGGCGAAGGCAGCCCCCUGGGCCAAUACUGACGCUCAUGCACGAAAGCGUGGGGAGCAAACAGGAUUAGAUACCCUGGUAGUCCACGCCCUAAACGAUGUCAACUAGUUGUUGGGGAUUCAUUUCCUUAGUAACGUAGCUAACGCGUGAAGUUGACCGCCUGGGGAGUACGGUCGCAAGAUUAAAACUCAAAGGAAUUGACGGGGACCCGCACAAGCGGUGGAUGAUGUGGAUUAAUUCGAUGCAACGCGAAAAACCUUACCUACCCUUGACAUGGUCGGAACCCUGCUGAAAGGUGGGGGUGCUCGAAAGAGAACCGAUAC